GUACCUGCAGAAGAAGCGCCGGCUAACUACGUGCCAGCAGCCGCGGUAAUACGUAGGGCGCAAGCGUUAUCCGGAUUUAUUGGGCGUAAAGAGCUCGUAGGCGGUUUGUCGCGUCUGCCGUGAAAGUCCGAGGCUCAACCUCGGAUCUGCGGUGGGUACGGGCAGACUAGAGUGAUGUAGGGGAGACUGGAAUUCCUGGUGUAGCGGUGAAAUGCGCAGAUAUCAGGAGGAACACCGAUGGCGAAGGCAGGUCUCUGGGCAUCUACUGACGCUGAGGAGCGAAAGCAUGGGGAGCGAACAGGAUUAGAUACCCUGGUAGUCCAUGCCGUAAACGUUGGGCACUAGGUGUGGGGAACAUUCCACGUUUUCCGCGCCGUAGCUAACGCAUUAAGUGCCCCGCCUGGGGAGUACGGCCGCAAGGCUAAAACUCAAAGGAAUUGACGGGGGCCCGCACAAGCGGCGGAGCAUGCGGAUUAAUUCGAUGCAACGCGAAGAACCUUACCAAGGCUUGACAUGUUCCAGACCGCCUCAGAGAUGGGGUUUCCCUUCGGGGCUGGUUCACAGGUGGUGCAUGGUUGUCGUCAGCUCGUGUCGUGAGAUGUUGGGUUAAGUCCCGCAACGAGCGCAACCCUCGUUCCAUGUUGCCAGCACGUAGUGGUGGGGACUCAUGGGAGACUGCCGGGGUCAACUCGGAGGAAGGUGGGGAUGACGUCAAAUCAUCAUGCCCCUUAUGUCUUGGGCUUCACGCAUGCUACAAUGGCCGGUACAAUGGGUUGCGAUACUGUGAGGUGGAGCUAAUCCCUAAAAGCCGGUCUCAGUUCGGAUUGGGGUCUGCAACUCGACCCCAUGAAGUCGGAGUCGCUAGUAAUCGCAGAUCAGCAACGCUGCGGUGAAUACGUUCCCGGGCCUUGUACACACCGCCCGUCAAGUCACGAAAGUUGGUAACACCCGAAGCCGAUGGCCUAACCACCUUGUGGGAGGGAGUCGUCGAAGGGGGAUCC
rnacentral:rRNA from 1 species